rnacentral:lncRNA from 1 species
CUCAGUUCCUUGUAAUUUUUACAUGCUAAGUUACUUAGUAGCUUUGUUGUUAUUUUUUGCUUGUUUCCUUUUAUUUUUCUUGAAGGUUCUCAGCAUUUAAUGACUUGUUUGGGUGAGAUUGUUACACGUGCUGGAAAUAGUGCUGCAAGGACACACGUGGAUCCUCCAGCAGUGGCUGAGUUAGCAACGUAAUGAAUCUCUCAGUGCUGUGGCUUCCUGGCUCCCCUGGGAUCUGGUUGAAACAGAAGCAUCUAAAAAGCAUCCAGAGAGGUCUGCAGAUCCAAUGGAAACGGGAGCUUCUGUGCACUUCUGCAAUGCUCUGCCUAAAUCCUCUACUCUCCAGUGGUGAGGAGCCUCUUGGUUGGCCACAGCACCAUUCCAAGGAGGGAAGAAUUACCCUGCCUUUCUACCAGCCUGCUCAGCUUUGGCUGCUGUGAUGGGAGUUUUGGUCAGGUGGGACUGUUUUGGGAAAGGGGUGAACCCUCAGCUAGAAAUCUUUCCUUGGCGUCCUCCUGCUCUCCCCUGUCUUAGUGGGGAAUGAGAGGAGAAUCAUGAGGAAAGCUUUGCAGAUCAUCGUGGGGUAUCUGGCAGAGCUGUCUGUACUGUUAUUGUUUCUUGUACAACAUUCUGGUGUUGGAAAUUGCUCCUCGUGUUCUGCAUGGUCUGUUGGUGUUUGCUUCUCUCAGUGAAUUACAGCUGGGGUAGGUGGGGUUGCUCUUUCUUCUCUGAUUAUUGAUUUUUGCUUUGCAUUUUAAGUUCUUUCUUGUGACCCCCAGUAGUCUGGAAGAACUGAUAAACCUGGGUGACCUCCAGACCUGCAUGUCUGUUCUGUAUGGACAGGAGGCACUGCUAUUGCUCUGACCACAUUCUGUGCAAGUGGCCUAUUCUGCAACCCACUUGUUUGUUUGAAAAGUAGCCUUGAUGCUACUUCCUGACACUGCAAAGGUCCUGAGCAUUAGUCACAGGGGGUGGCAAGGUGCUCCAAUGCAGUAAAAUAAGAGCAAGAAACCAGAUAAAAUAGGAUGAAUUUUUCCCCGCAACCUCUUAGCAAUUGAUCUGAAACCUCCAUCUCCAAUGGUGCUGGUGUUCUUCUGCAAGUUUGACUUGAGAACCAUAAACUCUAAUGAGUUUGAGCUGUGGGCCCAUUGCUCUAACACAGCAUCUUUGCCCCAGAUAGGAAGUCCUCUCCUC